rnacentral:rRNA from 1 species
GAUGAACGCUGGCGGCGUGCUUAACACAUGCAAGUCGAACGGGGGACAAUUUAAAGAAGCUUCGGCAGAUUUAGCUUGUUCCUAGUGGCGGACGGGUGAGUAACGCGUGGGUAACCUGCCUCACACUGGGGGAUAACAGUCAGAAAUGACUGCUAAUACCGCAUAAGCGCACAGAACCGCAUGGUUCAGUGUGAAAAACUCCGGUGGUGUGAGAUGGACCCGCGUUGGAUUAGCCAGUUGGCAGGGUAACGGCCUACCAAAGCGAUGAUCCAUAGCCGGCCUGAGAGGGUGGACGGCCACAUUGGGACUGAGACACGGCCCAGACUCCUACGGGAGGCAGCAGUGGGGAAUAUUGCACAAUGGGGGAAACCCUGAKGCAGCGACGCCGCGUGAAGGAAGAAGUAUCUCGGU